rnacentral:rRNA from 1 species
GACGUAGGGCGCGAGCGUUGUCCGGAUUUAUUGGGCGUAAAGAGCGUGUAGGCGGCUUGGUAGGUCCGCUGUGAAAACUCGAGGCUCAACCUCGAGAUGUCGGCGGAAACCACUUGGCUAGAGUCCGGAAGAGGAGAGUGGAAUUCCUGGUGUAGCGGUGAAAUGCGCAGAUAUCAGGAAGAACACCCGUGGCGAAGGCGGUUCUCUGGGACGGUACUGACGCUGAGACGCGAAAGCGUGGGGAGCGAACAGG